rnacentral:rRNA from 1 species
UACGGAGGGUGCAAGCAUUGAUCGGAAUUACUGGGCGUAAAGGGCGCGUAGGCGGCCAAUUAAGUCGGAUGUGAAAUUCCGGGGCUCAACCCCGGAGCUGCAUUUGAAACUAAUCGGCUAGUGGCUAGUAAGGGAAAACAGAAUUCCACGUGUAGCGGUGAAAUGCGUAGAUAUGUGGAAGAAUACCGGUGGUGAAGACGGUUUUCUGUGCUAAGCCAGACGCUGAGGCGCGAAAGCUAGGGGAGCAAACAGG